rnacentral:rRNA from 1 species
UACGGAGGGAGCGAGCGUUGUUCGGAAUUACUGGGCGUAAAGCGUAUGUAGGCGGUUUUGUAAGUCAGGUGUGAAAUCCCAGAGCUCAACUUUGGAACUGCAUUUGAGACUGCAAGACUCGAGUAUCGGAGAGGUUGGCGGAAUUCCUAGUGUAGAGGUGAAAUUCGCAGAUAUUAGGAGGAACACCGAUGGCGUAAGCAGCCAACUGGACGAUUACUGACGCUGAGAUACGAAAGCGUGGGGAGCAAAC